UUAUAUUAUUUUAUACAAACCUUGUUCUGGCAAUAAUUAACUCCAAAUGUGACCAAUUCAUGGCACUCAUUCAGAUGUAAUGCGCCUACGUAAAUUUUAGCGACUAAUUAUCAUUUAUAUAAAUUAUAAGGAAAAUAAAACGUCGAACAAUAAACCAACAUUCUUUAUUAAUAUUUUAUUUAACUGAAAUAAAUUACAAAUUGAUUUAAUAGUCAUCGAAUUAUCAAUAAUAGGAAAAAAGAUAAAAUUAUAUCACAAACCGAUUUAACAAACUCGAAGCUUACUUUAAUCUUAAUUUUCAGAGAAUUUGGUUUUUAAUAUAAAAAAACCAACCCAAAAAAUAUUUUCAACCCAAACAUAUUUAAGUACCAUAAAACAAAUUAUAAGAAAAAAACAUCGUUGUAUAACUUAUCACAUAAAAACAAGAUUGUAUGUUUGAAAUGCAAUUAUAGUUCGCGUCAUGUAAAAAAAACGCUGGCCUUGAAGCUGCGCAGAAGCGAUUUAUCGGUCUAUUUGGUGGUAUGGGGUAGGGGACGGGAGUGUUUAUCACGUAUCGCAUGCUUGCCGGUGUGCUAUUGGUUGGACAGUUCGACGUCGACUCAAAAUAUCAUCGCGCACAAAAGUUUUAAAUUACGAAAUAGUUUUAAAUAGAGAAGUGAGAAAAAUUAUUUAUAAUAUAUAAUUCGCG
rnacentral:misc_RNA from 1 species